rnacentral:tRNA from 1 species
CCGUCGAUAGCUCAGUUGGUAGAGCGGUGGACUGUAGAUUCGAUUCACGAAGAAAGUAGAACAUCGUGAAUUAUCACGCAAGGUAUCCAUAGGUCGCUGGUUCAACUCCGGCUCGACGGU